rnacentral:rRNA from 1 species
UGACGAAGCGACGCCGCGUGCGGGAAGAAGGCCUUCGGGUUGUAAACCGCUGUCGGGAGUUAGGAAAUGUAAGGGCGUUAAUAGCGUCCUUGCUUGACUAAGGCUCCGGAGGAAGCCACGGCUAACUCUGUGCCAGCAGCCGCGGUAAUACAGAGGUGGCAAGCGUUGUUCGGAAUUAUUGGGCGUAAAGAGCACGUAGGCGGCCUUGCAAGUCAGUUGUGAAAGCCUUCCGCUUAACGGGAGAACGGCAUCUGAUACUACAGGGCUUGAGUACGGGAGGGGAGAGUGGAACUUCUGGUGGAGCGGUGAAAUGCGUAGAUAUCAGAAGGAACGCCGGCGGCGAAAGCGACUCUCUGGCCCGAAACUGACGCUGAGUGUGCGAAAGCUAGGGGAGCAAACGGGAUUAGAUACCCCGGUAGUCCUAGCCGUAAACGAU